rnacentral:rRNA from 1 species
UACGUAGGGGGCAAGCGUUGUCCGGAGUUUAUUGGGCGUAAAGAGCGUGUAGGCGGCCAUUCAGGUCAGCUGUGAAACUCGAGGCUCAACCUCGAGACGUCGGUUGAAACCGUUUGGCUAGAGUCCGGAAGAGGAGAGUGGAAUUCCCGGUGUGAGCGGUGAAAUGCGCAGAUAUCGGGAAGAACACCCGUGGCGAAGGCGGCUCUCUGGGACGGUACUGACGCUGAGACGCGAAAGCGUGGGGAGCGAACGAGG